rnacentral:rRNA from 1 species
AACGAACGCUGGCGGCAUGCCUAACACAUGCCAGUCGAACGAGACCUUCGGGUCUAGUGGCGCACGGGUGAGUAACGCGUGGGAACCUGCCCUUAGGUUCGGAAUAACUCCCCGAAAGGGGUGCUAAUACCGGAUAAUGUCUUCGGACCAAAGAUUUAUCGCCAUUGGAUGGGCUUAGGUUGGAUUAGCGAGUUGGUAGGGUAAAAGCCUACCAAGGCGACGAUGCGUAGCUGGCCUGAGAGGAUGAUCAGCCACACGGGAACUGAGACACGGUCCAGACUCCUAAGGGAGGCAGCAGUGGGGAAUAUUGGACAAUGGGCGAAAGCCUGAUCCAGCCAUGCCGCGUGUGUGAAGAAGGUCUUCGGAUUGUAAAGAACGUUAAGUUGGGAGGAAGGGCAGUAAGUUAAUACCUUGCUGUUUUGACGUUACCAACAGAAUAAGCACCGGCUAACUUCGUG